AUACGGAGGGGGUUAGCGUUGUUCGGAAUUACUGGGCGUAAAGCGCACGUAGGCGGACUGGAAAGUUGGGGGUGAAAUCCCGGGGCUCAACCCCGGAACUGCCUCCAAAACUUCCAAUCUAGAGAUCGAGAGAGGUGAGUGGAAUUCCAAGUGUAGAGGUGAAAUUCGUAGAUAUUUGGAGGAACACCAGUGGCGAAGGCGGCUCACUGGCUCGAUACUGACGCUGAGGUGCGAAAGCGUGGGGAGCAAACAGAAUUAGAUACCCUAGUAGUCC
rnacentral:rRNA from 1 species